rnacentral:rRNA from 2 species
UAGUGGCGGACGGGUGAGUAACGCGUGAGAAUCUGCCUUCAGGUCUGGAGACAACCACUGGAAACGGUGUGCGUAACUACCGGAUGUGCUUCACGGUGAAAGAUUAAUCGCCUGAAGAUGAGCUCGCGUCUGAUUAGCUAGUUGUGUGGGGUAAGAGCCUACCAAGGCGAACGAUCAGUAACUGGUCUGAGAGGGAUGAUCAGUCACACUGGAACUGUAGACACGGUCCAGACUCCUACGGGAGGCAGCAGUGGGGAAUUUUCCGCAAUGGGCGAAAGCCUGACGGAGCAAUACCGCGUGAGGGAGGAAGGCUCUUGGGUUGUAAACCUCUUUUCUCAGGGAAGAAGACAAUGACGGUACCUGAGGAAUAAGCAUCGGCUAACUCCGUGCCAGCAGCCGCGGUAAUACGGAGGAUGCAAGCG